rfam:Ricinus communis cultivar Hale ctg_1100012356057, whole genome shotgun sequence.
AAUCCAUGGUGUGGGCAUUGCAAUAAAAAUGCUUUGAAGCGAUCCCAUACUUCAUGAAAAGAUUCAACAUUCUUUUGAUAAAAAUCAGAAAUUUCACCUUUUAAUUCU